GCCCUGCAUGAAGUCGGAAUUGCUAGUAAUCGCGGAUCAGCAUGCCGCGGUGAAUACGUUCCCGGGCCUUGUACACACCGCCCGUCACACCAUGGGAGCCGGUAAUACCCGAAGUCAGUAGUCCAACCUCGUGAGGACGCUGCCGAAGGUAGGAUUGGCGACUGGGGUGAAGUCGUAACAAGGUAUC
rnacentral:rRNA from 1 species